AGGCAAAGAAAACUGAAGGAAUGCAUUUCCUGCCAUCUGCUCUGGGAUUAUUGCAAGAAGACUGCCUGUGAACCUCAGGGAAUCCCCACUACUGGAGGGUCCCCCUGUGGGGCUGUGGGCACACCC